UUCGCAAUGCCCGAAAGGGUGACGAAGCGACGCCGCGUGUGGGAAGAAGGCCUUCGGGUUGUAAACCACUGUCGGGAGUUAGGAAAUGUAAGGGUGUUAAUAGUAUCCUUACUUGACUAAGGCUCCGGAGGAAGCCACGGCUAACUCUGUGCCAGCAGCCGCGGUAAUACAGAGGCGGCAAGCGUUGUUCGGAAUUAUUGGGCGUAAAGAGCACGUAGGCGGCCUUGUAAGUCAGUUGUGAAAGCCUUCUGCUUAACGGAAGAACAGCAGCUGAUACUGCAAGGCUAGAGUGCGGAAGGGGAGAGUGGAACUUCUGGUGGAGCGGUGAAAUGCGUAGAUAUCAGAAGGAACACCGGCGGCGAAGGCGACUCUCUGGUCCGUAACUGACGCUGAGUGUGCGAAAGCUAGGGGAGCAAACGGGAUUAGAUACCCCGGUAGUCCUAGCCGUAAACGAUGGGCACUAAGUAGAG
rnacentral:rRNA from 1 species